rnacentral:rRNA from 1 species
UACGUAGGGUGCGAGCGUUGUCCGGAAUUAUUGGGCGUAAAGAGCUUGUAGGUGGUUUGUCGCGUCUGCUGUGAAAAUCCGAGGCUCAACCUCGGACUUGCAGUGGGUACGGGCAGACUAGAGUGUGGUAGGGGAGACUGGAAUUCCUGGUGUAGCGGUGGAAUGCGCAGAUAUCAGGAGGAACACCGAUGGCGAAGGCAGGUCUCUGGGCCGAUACUGACGCUGAG